rnacentral:lncRNA from 1 species
UCUGCCCUCCGGGCAUCACUCCCUUUUUAUUAAUAGAAAGUCAUUUCGGCUCUUCCUGCCGAUCAGAUCUCGUGUUGUUCUAGCCAUUCGGCUCAUCCUGCCGAAGCGGAUUAACUGUGAAGGUUUUCGAACCCGACUGAUUCGAUCCCUCAUCGGCCUAAUCGCUUGAUCCUCUGUGGGCGCAAACUUCGAGGGUCAUCAUCCGCAGCCGCUCAUCAUCCCGGCGCUCUUUCCGAGGAGGAUAUCUGACCGGGUCAAGGGUCGGGACUUUAGGCAGCGCAACAGUAUCUAAAAUUUUUUGUAUAUAAUUUAACGAAAUAUUAACGAUAAAAACUGACAAAAAGAUAAAAAUGAAAUCACAGGACACUAACUUAAUACACUUUAAAUAAUCAUAGGGUAUUAAAAUAAAAAAGUGCGAAACUACACGAAUGGCAUUUGAAGUU